CCUACGGGGGGCAGCAGUGGGGAAUAUUGGACAAUGGGGGAAACCCUUAUCCAGCGACGCCGCGUGAGGGAAGAAGGUUUUCGGAUUGUAAACCUCUUUCAGUGGGGACGCUAAUGACGGUACCCACGGAGGAAGCCACGGCUAACUACGUGCCAGCAGCCGCGGCACUACGUAGGUGGCAAGCGUUGUCCGGAAUUACUGGGCGUAAAGGGAGCGUAGGCGGGAUGUCAAGUCAGGAGUGAAAAUUAUGGGCUUAACUCAUAACCUGCUUUUGAAACUGGUAUUCUUGAGUGAAGGAGAGGCAAGCGGAAUGCGUAGUGUAGCGGUGAAAUGCGUAGAUAUUAGGAGGAACACCGGUGGCGAAGGCGAGUUGCUGGGCUUUUACUGACGCUGAGGCUCGAAAGCGUGGGGAGCAAACAGGAUUAGAUACCCCGGUAGUC
rnacentral:rRNA from 1 species